rnacentral:rRNA from 1 species
AUGAACGCUGGCGGCGUGCCUAAUACAUGCAAGUCGAGCGAACGGACGAGAAGCUUGCUUCUCUGAUGUUAGCGGCGGACGGGUGAGUAACACGUGGAUAACCUACCUAUAAGACUGGGAUAACUUCGGGAAACCGGAGCUAAUACCGGAUAAUAUUUUGAACCGCAUGGUUCAAAAGUGAAAGACGGUCUUGCUGUCACUUAUAGAUGGAUCCGCGCUGCAUUAGCUAGUUGGUAAGGUAACGGCUUACCAAGGCAACGAUGCAUAGUCGACCUGAGAGGGUGAUCGGCCACACUGGAACUGAGACACGGUCCAGACUCCUACGGGAGGCAGCAGUAGGGAAUCUUCCGCAAUGGGCGAAAGCCUGACGGAGCAACGCCGCGUGAGUGAUGAAGGUCUUCGGAUCGUAAAACUCUGUUACUAGGGAAGAACAUAUGUGUAAGUAACUGUGCACAUCUUGACGGUACCUAAUCAGAAAGCCACGGCUAACUACGUG